rnacentral:misc_RNA from 1 species
UAUAGACAUCACUCUUCUCGGUCACCUUGGUUGUGUAAGCAUACUCAGGAGCAAUGUAGCCAUGCGUCCCAGCUACAACCUGAGAAGAGUCCUUAGUACCAUUAACAUGCAAAACUUUGGCUAGUCCAAAAUCAGCAAUUUUGGGCUUCAUCUGUUCAUCCAACAAGAUGUUGCUAGACUUGACAUCCCGAUGCAUCACGGGUCUGUCAUAUCCGUGAUGCAGAUACUCAAGCCCUUGAGCAGCACCUAAUGCAAUGUCAUAUCUCACCAACCAAUCCAUCUUGACUUUCUGAGACGUGUGCAAUCGGUCCCAUAAGCUUCCAUUAGUUAAGUAUUCAUAAACCAGCAUAUUUGAGUCCUCACUUGUGAUGCUACAGUA